CCUACGGGGGGCAGCAGUCGGGAAAAUUUUGCAAUGCGCGCAAGCGUGACAAAGCAAGCCAGAGUGCUUUUCCAUAUUGGAAAAGCUUUUAUGGUAUGUAAAAAGUGCCACGAAUAAGGACUGGGCAAGACUGGUGCCAGCCGCCGCGGUAAUCCCAGCAGUCCAAGUCGCAGCCACAAUUAUUGGGUCUAAAACAUCCGUAGCUUGCUUAGUAAGUCUUUUGUGAAAUCUGGCCUCUUAAGGGUCGGGCGAGCAAGAGAUACUGCCUAGCUAGAGACCGGGAGACGUAAGGAGUACAGAUAGGGUAGCGGUAAAAUGUGUUGAUCCUAUCCGGACUAACAAUAGCGAAGGCACCUUACGAGAACGGAUCUGACAGUGAGGGAUGAAGGCUAGGGGCGCAAAGUGGAUUAGAUACCCCAGUAGUC
rnacentral:rRNA from 1 species